UACAGAGGUCUCGAGCGUUGUUCGGAUUCAUUGGGCGUAAAGGGUGCGUAGGUGGCACCGUAAGUCGGGUGUGAAAUCCUGAGGCUUAACCUCGGAACUGCAUUCGAUACUGCGGUGCUUGAGGACUGGAGAGGAGACUGGAAUUCCUGGUGUAGCGGUGAAAUGCGCAGAUAUCAGGAGGAACACCGGUGGCGAAGGCGGGUCUCUGGGCCGGAACUGACGCUAAGGAGCGAAAGCGUGGGGAGCGAACAGG
rnacentral:rRNA from 1 species